rnacentral:rRNA from 1 species
UGGGGAAUCUUCCGCAAUGGACGAAAGUCUGACGGAGCAACGCCGCGUGAGUGAAGACGGCCUUCGGGUUGUAAAGCUCUGUGAUCCGGGACGAAAGAGCCUGAGGUAAAUAGCCUAAGGAAGUGACGGUACCGGAAAAGCAAGCCACGGCUAACUACGUGCCAGCAGCCGCGGUAAUACGUAGGUGGCAAGCGUUGUCCGGAAUUAUUGGGCGUAAAGCGCGCGCAGGCGGCGUACUAAGUCCAUCUUAAAAGUGCGGGGCUUAACCCCGAGAUGGGAUGGAAACUGGAAAGCUGGAGUAUCGGAGAGGAAAGUGGAAUUCCUAGUGUAGCGGUGAAAUGCGUAGAGAUUAGGAAGAACACCGGUGGCGAAGGCGACUUUCUGGACGAAAACUGACGCUGAGGCGCGAAAGCGUGGGGAGCAAACAGG